GCUGAACGCUGGCGGCGUGCUUAACACAUGCAAGUCGAUCGGUAACGCGGGGGCAACCCUGGCGACGAGAGGCGGACGGGUGAGGAACGCUUGGGAAUCUGCCUAUCAGCGGGGGACAACACGGGGAAACUCGUGCUAAUACCGCAUACGCUCUACGGAGGAAAGCCGGGGACCGCAAGGCCUGGCACUGAUAGAUGAGCCCAAGCCGGAUUAGCUAGUUGGCGGGGUAACGGCCCACCAAGGCGACGAUCCGUAGCUGGUCUGAGAGGACGAUCAGCCACACCGGGACUGAGACACGGCCCAGACUCCUACGGGAGGCAGCAGUGGGGAAUAUUGGACAAUGGGCGGAAGCCUGAUCCAGCCAUGCCGCGUGUGUGAAGAAGGCCUUUUGGUUGUAAAGCACUUUAAGCGAGGAGGAGGCUACUAGUACUAAUACUACUGGAUAGUGGACGUUACUCGCAGAAUAAGCACCGGCUAACUCUGUGCCAGCCGCCGCCGUAAUAC
rnacentral:rRNA from 1 species